CAACCAUAAUUCACAUGAAGAUAUAUAUAUAAUGGCUGAAACACCAAAAUCACAACCAAGCAUAACCAUCAUCAAAACGAAGCAUUAAAUCCGAACAUAACAAAGUAUUAAGCCAUUUUCGCAUGGCUCAUGAUUACAUUAACCAAAAUCAAACAUUUCAAAAUAUAAUCCAUCCUAUACAUGCCAUAGUUUCAAAAAUUCAUCUUAUAAAAUACCUAAGACAGUCGAUAGUGUGAUAGACUUUGCUGACGAUCCCCGAGCUCGUAACUUGAAUCCAAAAUCUAUAAAACAGAGGUAAACAUGAACACACACAGUAAGCUAUCAUAGCUUAGUAAGUCAUAAGCAAAUAAAUAACUAAUUAACAUAAUCAAUUCAUUUAAACUAAACCUAAUUAUACUAUCAUAAUCACUUUAAAUCUUAAGCUUACAAUUUCAUGUAUUAUAUAUACUUUCACAUACAAAUUAUUCAUGGCCGAAUGAAUAUAUAUAUACAUUAACAAACUAUCAUUCAAUUUCCAAGCCAAAAUAUCUUUAUCAUACCAAGUACAUAUACACUUAUAUUCAUAUACUCAUAAGUCGGAGUAUAACAAUCACAUACAUAUUUAUAUCAAAUGGCCGAAUAUACCACCAAAUGCACAUAUGUUUACAUUAGUAAUUUAUAUUAUUUGAAUCACAUAUUAAAUGGCCAACUUACCUUAUUUUCAAAUAGGUAAUUAACUAACUCAUACCUGAUAGUUUUAGCUCGUUUUACACCUUCGUUCACAACAUAUCAUUGCCCGUUGAACCAUUCGGAAUUGAAUAGGAUACUUGGAUAAUAACAUAUACCAUACAAUACCAACAUCUCAGACGUGGUCUUACAUGUUAUCUUAUAUAGAUGACACUGUCCUAGAUAGGGUCUUACAUGAAUCGAAUACGAUGUCGAUGUCCCAGACAUGCUCUUACACGUAACCACAUAUAUCGAUGCCAACGUCCCAGACGUGGUCUUACACGAAAUCACAUUUAUUGAUGCAAAUGUCCCAGACGUGGUCUUACAUGAAAUCACAUAUAUCGAUGCCAACGUCCCAGACGUGGUCUUACACAAAAUCACAUAUCAGAAUCCUAUGGUUCGUACGGGACUUUCGGACGUCAUAACUCAGUCGAAACAAAUUCGUUAACAUAGCUCCCAAGCUUAUUUACAUUCGGCUAACAUAUAUAUAUUUUAAAUAAUUCAUUUCAGCAUAUAGAACUCAUAUUUAUUUAAAAUUAACAAUAUCUAUUUGCUUAUAAACUUACCUCGGACGAUGAAAAUCGGAACGGGACGACUAGUCGACAAAUUUGGUUUUCCCCUGAUCCAAAUCUGAUUUCUUUGGUUCUUGAUCUAAACAUAUUCUAACUAAACUCAUUCAAACAUAUUUUCACUCAAUUUAGUCCACAAACACAUAAAUGGGCAAGUUACCAUUUUACCCCUAAUAUUUCACACUUUUUACAAUUUAGUCUAAAUUGCACAAAACACAAAACAUGCAAAAUUUGCACACACCAUGCCUAGGGCGAAUGUUCCUAGUGUUCAUACAAGUCCAUACAUUUUAUUUAUUUUACAUUUUAGUCCCUCAAUUUAUUAUUUUUGCAAUUUAGUCUUAAUUACUCAAAAUCAUCAAAAAUUCCAAUACAAAACUUGUUAAUCCAAAACAUAUCUUUCAUAUUUCAUCUACUAACAUCACAUAGCUCAAAUAUUCAUCAAUGGCAUGACACAAAAUAUUCAUCAAAAUAAAAAAUUCAAGCUUGGGCUUUGUAGAUAACAUAGCAACGAUCUCAAAAACGUAAAAAUUAUAAAAAAUCGAGCUAGUUACAUACCUUGAGAGCUUAGCAAUGGUCGAACAUAAAACAUUAUUCUUUUCUUUUUCUUUUAGGUUUCGAAAAAAAAACAUUAUGAAACCAUAUAUUUAUUUUUAUGUUUUAUUAUAACAUUAUUAUUUACCAUUUUACAUUAAUAUCCUUUAUAAUUUAAUAACUAAAAUAUGUAUAUCAAGGAUACAACCGUCCAUCACUAACUCCAAUGGUAUUAUUGCAACAUAAGUACUUCAUUAAAUAAAGACAACAUCAAUAGGGACCUUUUACAAUUAACCACCAAAUUUUCAUUGUACGCGAUUAAGUCUUUUUAUUUAAUCGGGCACUCAAACGACAAAAUUAAAGCACGAAAAUUUCACACAUAUAAAUUCACACAUAAUAAACACAAAAUAAUAUUAAAAUAUUUUCUGACUCGAAUUUUUGGUCCAAAAACCACUGUUUUGAAUAGGGUCUAAAUCGGGCUGUUACAGUAAUGAUCCAAAUUUAAGGAGAACAUAAGUGGAAAACAGUCAGUGGUAGGCGAUGAACUUUAUAUCCAAGUAUGUGAAUAAUUGUGAGAGUUACGUCGGUUAAGGUAUAAAGAAAUUUGGGAUAAGGCAGGAUCAGGCUAAGACCAUAGAGAACCAUUUUUGUAAAGGUCUUGCUUGCAUAUAAGAUAGAGAAAUAAUCCACCAACAGUGAACUGCGAAAAAUAACAAGGCGUCAACCACGCUUGUGAGAUCUGAGGAAUGUCAAAGAUAGAUAGUAAGUUUGAAAUAUUUGUUUUAAGUCUUAUCUCUUGAAGAUUACGGAAUAUUUUUGUUGCAUUGUUUUACAAAAUCUCACUAAGUUCAAUUGAACUUACGAAUUUACUGUUUGCUUGCAAGAUAAAUGUUUUGACUCGGUAAUUGAGUGGAGGGAUCACGCCAGACAUCGCCAAAUUGUGGGAUGGGCAUAGAAGUCGUUCAUGUAUAUAGAGGGGAACCCCUUAAGGCCACACCUUGGGGAUUAAAUUAGUGUAUCUGUGUUUAAGUCUCAAAUAAAAAUUUAUGAAUAACUAAUAUGCUUACUAAGGUAGAAAGUUUGUAAGUUCUUACUGCUUGUAUGAUAAGGGAUUUUAUCAAAAUCUAAAUUCUGGAAUCUAAUGUAAAUCCUGAAAUUAUUAAGAUUGAAUAGUGGCAAUGUAAGUAAAUCAAGUUAGAGGAUUUGUUAAGCCGUUCGAGUUACUUGUGACACUUGGUAACCAUGACCUAGUGAUUGGGUCGAAUAUAGGUGUUACAAAUUUAAUGGUAUCACUAGUUUUGGACCUAAUUUCCUUACUUCCUUUGUAACUAAGAUUAGUGAUUUAGACUUAAUAAGAGAUUCUAUUGCUCAUGCUUUUUUUAUAGAUGUGAAUCCAAAAACUAAUGAUGAAACGAUAAAAUCAAUAGAUGUGAGUUUUUGGAGAGAUGCUAUUAAUAAUGAGCUAGUAUCUAUUAUGUCUAAUCAUACUUGGUAAUUAGUAGACUUGUCUAAAAGUUUUAGACCUAUCAGUAACAAAUGGGUCUUUAGGAAGAAACUUAGACCAGAUGAGUCAAUUAAAAUGUAUAAGGCACGACUAGUUGUUAAAGGAUUCACUCAGAAAUUUGGAAUAAAUUAUUUUGAAGCAUACUCUCUUAUGAUUUAGAUCUCAACUAUUCAUGUUUUUUUUAUUAGCUUCAUUCACAAUUUGUUGGUACAUUAGAUGGAUGUUAAGACAACUUUCUUGGACGAGGAUUUGGAUGAGGAAAUCUACAUGAAGCAACUUUCAAGGUUUGUGGAACCUGGUAUGGAAGAUAAAGUUUGCAGACUCGAAAAAUCUUUGUAUGGUCUCAAACAAGCUCUAAAAUAAUGGUAUGAGAAAUUUCAUAAGACUAUUCUCAGUUUUGGUUUUAUUGUUAAUGGUGCAGGUACAUGUGUGUAUUCUAAGAUGUUUGGUUAUGAUUGUGUUAUCAGAAGUUUAUAUGUGGAUGACAUGUUAAUUUUCAAUUCCAAUAUAGAAGCCAAUAAUAAAACCAAAAUUUCUUAUCUACUAAAUUUGGAAUGAUUGAUUUGGGAGAGGUAGAUGUAAUCUUAGAUAUUAAGAAUACUAAAUCAGAAAAGGGAUUUACUUUAAACAAAUCUCAUUAUAUUGAGAAAGUGCUAAAAAAGUUUAAUAGCUUUGAUGUAAUCCUUGUGAGAACUCAUUAUGAUUCUAGCAUACAACUGUUAAAAAAUAAAGAAAAUAGUGUUUCUCAAUUAGAGUAUGCUAAAAUAUUGGAAGUCUUAUGCUCUUAAUGAAAUAUACUUGGUCUGAUAUUGCUUAUGCAUUCAGUAGACUAACUAGAUAUACCCAUAACCCUUGCAAUGAGCAUUGGAAUGCUCUAAAGUGAUUGCUUAAGUACCUUAAAGGUACAAUAACUUGGGAGUUGGUUUUAUCGGAUACCUUGCAGUCCUAAAGGGAUAUUGUGAUGCAAACUAGGUAAUUGAUAAUGAUGAAAUGAACUCUACAAGUAGGUAUGUUUUUACUUUGAGAGGGGCAACUAUUUCUUAAAAGUCUACUAAACAGACUUGUAUUGCUCGCUCCAUAAUGGAGUCAAAGUUUAUAUUUCUUGACUUAGCUGAGCAAAAGGCUAAGUAGCUUAGAAAUCUACUUACAAAGAUUCUUUUAUGGGAAAAUAGACACCUUCUAUACCUCUAUUAUGUGACUCACAAGUUGCAAUUUAUGUUGCUAAAAGUCAAGUUUACAAUGGUAAGAAUAGGCAUAUUCGUAUAAGAUAUGGAUUUGUGAGACAUUUAAUAAAGAAUGGAGUACUUUCUAUGGAAUACAUGAGAUCUAAAAGGAACCUAGCUGAUCUAUUAACCAAAGGAUUAAGUAGGAAAAUGGUUUUUGAUUCGUUGAGGGGGAUGGGUCUUAAACCCACUGGUUGAGGAAUUCAUGGUGGAUACGCAACUUCAUUCUCUAAGUUCAAUGAGGUCAAACAAAACCAUGGAAACACUCAUAAUGUACAUUUUAUCUAUCCCUAUGGCGAACGAUGUACAUGCAUAAGGUUGAGUUCUUACUCUUAAUGAAUUCAUAGCCCAAGGUUUGUGUGGUCCUAUUAAGACAGAAUUGAUAAACUCACCGACAUGUGAGGUUGAGUUUAUUACUCUUAAAGGUUUCAUAUCCUAGAGUUUGGAUGGUCCUAGCAAGAAGGACUUGAUGAAUUCACCGAAUUUAAAUUUGAGAGGAUGAGCUUAUAAAUGCUCUUAAUGAUUUCAUAGUCUUGAGUCGGAAGGUCUAUAUUGAGAUAGACUUGUUAAAAUCAUCUACGUAAGUGUGAAGAGACACCUUCUAAAAAAGACAUUGGGCAGUCUUUCUAGAGCACUUACCAGCAUCCCAAAGUGUAUUGGCUAAAACUUGUUGAUCUAUUGCGGAACAUAAAUUGGAUCUGAGAUUACUCGUGUGUCAUGAGUUAACCCCUAUCUUAACAAGUUAAAAAUUUCUUAAUUACUCAUUUCAUUCAAAUCCAUAAGAUAUUAGUGCUUAAGCGACUAAUUUUGAUGUUGCUCUUCUCAUAUCUUUUCUUGUGUUUACAGAACUUCCAAUUACUUUGCAUUAGUAGGGGAAUGUUAUUAAUGUAAAUUUAUUUCAGUAGUUACAAACCAUUAUUUCCAACAGUUACAAACCCUUUUUUUAUAGUUACAAAAUAUUAAAUAUUUUUCUGACCAUUUUACCUCUACUAAAUUACAUUUUUGCCCUUUCCAAAAUCUAAUAAAUAGGAGGCAUUUUUCCUUCAUUUGAUACACAAUGGAAAAAAACAAAGCUUCAUCUACUCUUUCUCAACUCUCUCUCAUUCUUUCUAAAACUUUAGAAUUUUUCUUAAAUUGCAUUAGAGGAAAUUCUGGCUAGGAGUUUGAGUUUUAAGCGGGACCGUCUGUGACCCCUCCAAACUUUCUUGGGAACUGAUCCUAGUGUGAUUUUUCCAAUUAAUUCUAUUUUCAGAUUAUUUCAGAAGAGCAAUACCAAUUGAGUUCUACCUUCCUUAUUCGGGUGUACGAAUAUCGAAGAACUGUGUUAACCUUGGGAGACGAAAUCCACUAUACGAUUACACCAAUCAUGGCGAAUUUAUUUUUAAGGCAGUAGUUCUUCCACGACACAUUAAUAAUUUAUUCAUUUAAUCUUCAUUUUUUUUCCAGUUAGUGCUAACGAAUUUGUUUUACAGUAGUAUAUAUUCCAACAAAAAUUUCUAAUUUUGUUAAUAAAAAUAAAUUUAAUAUUAAUUGUGAAUUUGUUAAAUAUUUUUGAAUUAUUUGCAUUAUGUGGUUAAAGUACUUGAAAGGUCCUUGUAAUAUAGGGGCUGAUAGAAUAAAAAAGUCCAAAAUGUAACAGAAUUAACUUUUACGGUAUAAAAAUGUGUUAAUUUUUUUUUCAAUUACAGUUCAAUUCCAAACAAAAGAUUUUACUUACAAAACCAUAAAAACUUUAAAAAUAUUAACUCUAUUAAACAAUAAGUGAUAAAUUUUUAAACUAAAUUUUUUAUUACUAUUCUAAUUUGGCUUUAUUUGAUUGUUUUUAGUAAUACGUGACUAAAUUAAUCUAUUUAAAAUAGAAAGACUGUGUAACACCCUAAAUUUGGGGCCUAGAAGAGUUGGGCUUUGAGUAUGGGAUUCGGAUAGAAGAAAACCUGAAUAAUUAAGAAGUUUUAAAUAUUAUCAUUUAAGGAAAAAUUUUGAAUUAAAUUACUACUAGAAAAUUUUUACUGUAUUUAUUAAUAUAGAUAUUUUAAAUUUUUAUGAAAUUUUAAUUAGUAUUAUAAGAUAAAAUUAUUAUUAUUAGAAAAAUAUUACUGUAUGUAUAUUUAAAAAAUUGUUAUGAAAAUUAUUAUUAUUUACUGUAUUAUUGAUAUUUGAAAUUUUUAUUAUUAGAUAUAUUUAUAAAAUUAUAUUAUAAUAAUUAUUAUUAGAUAGGAAAAAUAAAUAUAUAUUUAUAAAAGUAUUGUUGUUUUGGUGUUUAAACUCUAGGAAAAAAUUGUUUUAAUUUUUGCCUCUUUCUUUUGGCUUUGUAUGCGCUAGCAUGGACAAGGGGGCGUACAACGAAGGGCUUGAAGGUUAACUCGGUUGGACAUCUAGAUCUAACCCAUAUUUCGACAGAAAGGUAAGAACAUUGGGGUUUAAGGCACUGUUGGCCGAAUAUGGUAAGUGGUCUUGUACGUAGCUUGUUUUUGAUAUUUAGACUGACGUCUUAGUAACUCGAUUGUAGGCAACUCGUUUGUGGAUCUCGCCAACGUAUCGUUACAGAACAGGUGUGUAAACGACACCCACUCAUAGACUAGAUCGGUAAAAGCCGAAAAGUUGAAAUGCCGAAAAGUCAGCAUUCGUGAACUUGCGAGCGUGCGAGCACUUGGGAGGGGGUUUGUCUGUUAAUUUUGGUAAUCAUAAGCGGUAAGAGUGCAAAGUGCGCAAUUUUGUGCACUUCGGUAUAUUUGGGCUUAAUGGGCCGAAAACGAGGUAGUGGACCAAUGGGCCCAAUUCGGUAAAAACGCUCGGUAAGUGUUUCUGUUAAUGCGUUAAUGGUUAUAAUAUGUGUGUAAACUCUAGAAUACUAAAUUUUACUAAAAUACCCCUAAGUAUGAAAAUUACCAUUUUACCCCUAGGUGCAAAAUGACCGUUAUACCCCUAGGGUUAAUUUUGACUGAAAUGCAUGAUAUUCUGAUUCUGUUUGUUGGAUGCCAUGACAUGUAUAUCUGUUACAUGGGAUCUGGGUUAUGUUAUGAAGGAAGAACCCGUUCUGGUGGCUGUGCCACAUACUCUGAUAUAAGCAGCUUUGCUGCGGAUUAUAGUUAGUGCCGCAACCGGUGCUAACAUUGUAAGUGUAGGGAUGGCGUGGGUGAUUUAUUCCCCAUAGGAAGUGUAGGGAUGGACGGAGGCAAGUGCAGGGUUGGAUGGGGUUAUUAUGCAUUAAUCAUAUGAGAUUGUUUUGUUGUGGGCCAACUGUAUUGAAAUGGGCCCAACUGUGUUGAUAUGGGUAAGGCCCAAUAUAUCUUGACUUGUAAUAGGGCUAUGGCCAAGAUUUAUACUGAUAUGGGCUAGGCCCAGUAUACUCUGAUACUGUAAGGGGCUAUGGCCCAAAUUAAUAUUGAUAUGGGCUAAGGCCCAGUUAACUCUGAUUUCUGAAUAGGGCUUGGGCCCAGUAAAGCUUGAACUGAUUUGGGCUCUGGUUGGGAUACUUUACACACUGAGUUUUCCAAACUCACCCCCUUUUCCCAUCUAUGCAGGUGAGCCUUAGAUCGGUGGACUUGGAGCUGAAGGGAUUCAGAGUGGCCAUGUGGACUGUUUAAAAAAAGUGUUUAUACCUUCACUUUUAUUUUAGAUUAUUUCCUUUAUGUUUUCAGGUUUUUAAGGCCGCUUUAAUUAUUUUUAAUUGUUUUUAGUAUGUUUUGUUAGCUUAGAUAUGAUAUUUUUUUAAUUGUUUGAAAUUGAAUAGCUCUAGGGCGCGUUUUAAAAAGGUUACUUGAUUUCAAAAUAUCGCGAUAACAAAGCAAAGCUUCCGCAACGAAAACGUUUUCAAAAUUAAUAACCUUUUCAAAUGGUUUUAAACAAAUUGGUUUUCCUUGAACAAUCAUUCAGUUAAAGUGUGGCAAUGGUUGUGUGCAUGUCUAGGAUUGGAUCCGUGAAGAGCUGGGUACUUAAGUAGUCUAAUUGACUCACCUCCUCUUUUCUGGCAUCCUACCUGGUACUCAGCUUCCAUUCACUUUAAUCUUUAACGAAGAUAUUCUUUAAACACUAAGAAAGACUUUAGAUAAAACAUGACUUUUCUAGUAACGCUUCAAUGUGACACGCCGGAUUCGGUCGUAACGUCUAGGCCGGGUUUGGGGUGUUACAGACUGAUUUAAUUAAAUCUCUAUAAUAAAAUGACUUCUAAAGUACGUUAACCUCUUUUGUUCUUAUUUAGGUUAUUGGUUUGUGAUAGUACAUGUUGACGGAAUUCUUGUAGUGAAUGUUGAGCUUGAUCCGGUAGUAUGUGUACAUGUAUUCUUUUUAAUGAAAUUUCACCUUUAAGAAAAAUGUGUUUAACUUGUUAAGUAGAACCUCAUUGAUUUGUUAAUUGUUAAUAUUAUUAGUUAAUUGUAAUAUUUUAUUAAAUUUUUUUAAAUUCAAAUUAAGUAAUAAAAAUUAAGAUAUUUAUCAUUCGAUAUUAAAAUAUAUAAAAAUUUUCAAAUAUAAAUAUUACAUUGAAAAAUAAAACACAGAUGCUAUAUUAAAAAAUGAUAUAUUAAACUAUAAAAAUAAAAUAAAAUAAAAUAAAAAACACACAGAUUUUUACGUGAAAACCCUUUCGGGAAAAAAACCACCUGCAGAGGAGAAGAAAAUUCACUAUGUCGAAUUCGAAUGAUUACAAGAGGAAUAGACUAUGUCUAUUUAUAGGCUUGUAAAGCCAUAUUCUAGUAAGACUGAAACACCUUAUUCUAAUCAAUAUAAAAUAGAUGGAGUUUAAUAAGGUUUAAAAAAUCUUAUUCUAAAAUAAAAUAAAAGAAGUGUAGUUCUAUAUGGAUUUUACUUUUAUUUUAUUUUACCACUGUAUUUUAUUUAAAUAAGGAUUCAGGUCAUUUAAUUCUAACAAUCUCCACCUUGACACAAAUUCUCAAUGAACAACUUCUUCAUCGCGAACUUUCAACGAACAAGUUCUCCACCUCUUCCAUAAAACCCCUUAAGGGUUUAACUUCAACAAUGGACACCAACCAAGUCUAAGCAAUGCUCAAACUUGGUUAUAGGAAGUGACUUAGUCAUCAUAUCUGUAGGAUUUUCAUGAGUACUAAUUUUGCUCACAACAAUAUCACCACGAGCAAUAAUAUCACGAACAAAAUGAUACCGAACAUCAAUUUGUUUUGUUCUCUCAUGAAACAUUUGAUCUUUUGUAAGGAAGAUUGCACUAUUGACUAUCACAAAAUAUAGUACUGAUUUGAAGGUCUUCAUCGAGUUCACUAAAGAGUCCCUUCAACCAAAUAGCUUCUUUACAAGCCUCAGCAAUUGCCAUGUACUCAGCUUCAGUGGUAGACAAAGUGACUAUAGUUUGCAAAGUGGCUUUCCAACUGAUUGCACAACCUCCUAUUGUAAAGACAUAACCUGUGAGAGAUCUUCUUCUAUCAAGGUCUCCAGCAAAAUCAACAUCAACAUACCUAGUGACUCCAUCUCUAGUUCUUCCAAACUAUAAGCAAACAUCAACAGUACCUUGUAAGUAUCUUAAAAUCCACUGAACUAUUUUCCAGUGUUCUUUACUGGGAUUUACCAUGUAUCUGCUAACUGCACUGACUGCAUAUGAUAAAUAUGGACGUGAACAAACCAUAGCAUACAUGAGAGAUCACACUGCACUAGAGUAUGAAACAUGUGAUAUGUACUCAAUCUCAUCAUCUGAUUGUUGAGACAAAGCCAAUAAAAGUCUAAAAUGGGCUGCUAAAGGAGUACUAACAGGCUUAGCACUCUGCAUAUUGAACCUGCAAAGAACUUUCUCAAUGUACCCCUUCUAACUUAGGUACAAUUUACUUGUUUUUCUAUCUCUGAGAAUCUCCAUACCAAGUAUCUUCUUUGCUGGUCCUAAAUCUUUCAUCUCAAAUUCUUCACUUAGUUGGGCUUUGACCUUUCUUAUCUCUCCUUUAUCUUUCGCUACUAUCAACAUGUCAUCAACAUAAAGAAGUAGAUACACAAAAGAACCAUCACUGUUUUUCUUAAAGUAAACACAACUGUCAAAACUACUUCUUUUGAAAUUAUGAGAAGUCAUAAAGGAAUCAAACCUCUUGUACCACUGUCUUGGUGACUGUUUCAAACCGUAAAGGGACUUUUUCAGCAAGCAAACAUAGUCCUCUUUUUCUGAGACUGUAAAACCCUCUGGUUGUUGCAUGUAAAUAUCCUCCUCAAGUUCUUCAUGUAAAAAUGUAGUUUUUACAUCUAACUACUCAAGCUCCAAAUCAUGCAUGGCCACAAUACCAAGCAAAGCUCGAAUCGAACUAUGUUUAACAACUGGGGAGAACACAUCUGUGAAGUCCACUCCUAGAAUUUCAUUGUAACCCUUUGCAACAAGCCUUGCUUUAUAUCUAGGUUCUUCAACUCUUGGAGUCCCUUAUUUCUUUUUAAACACCCAUUUACAAUGAAUAGCCUUUUUACCUUUAGGAAGUUUCACAAGAUCCCAUGUUCUGUUUUUGUGGAGUGAUUCCAUCUCCUCUUGCAUAGCAAACAUCCACUUUUCUGAGUCUUCAUAGUUAACUGCCUCAAAAUAAUUAGAUGGCUCUUGAUUCCUGUCUAUAUCUUCAGCCACAUUUAAAGCAUAAGCAACUAGAUCAGCCUCAACAUACUUCUUUGGAGGUUUAAUUUCUCUUCUAGUUCUAUUUUUGGCGAUUUCUCUUCUAGUUCUAUUUUUAGCGAUAGAGUAUUGUGGUGAAGAAGUAACUCUAUUCUUAAUUUAUGUACUGGCUUGAGGAGUUGACUCUGUAUUAAUCUGAUGCUCCACCUGCUUUUGAUUUUCUCUAUUGGAAGAGUCUUUAAGAGAUAAGUUAGGCAGCAUAGCAGUUUCAUCAAAAACAAUAUCUCUGCUAAUCACAACUUUUCUAUUUUCAGGACACCAUAACUUAUACCCUUUUACACCAGCUUUAUAACCAAGAAAAACACAUUUAAUAGAUCUCGGUUCCAAUUUUCCAUUAUCAACAUGAGCAUACGCAGGACACCCAAAAAUCUUUAAAUCAGAAUAAUUAACAGGAUUACCAAACCAUACCUCUUGUGGAGUCUUUUUCUCAAUGGCAAAGGAUGGGGAUCGAUUGAUCAAAAAACAUGCAGUAGAGGCUGCUUCGGCCCAAAAUGACUUUGGUAAGAUGACAUUUGACAACAUACAUCAAACCUUCUCCAUGAUUGUUCUGUUUAUUUCAUUCUACAACGCCAUUUUGCUACGGAGUAUGGCGAACUGUCAAGUGUCUCACGAUCUUUUAUGACUUGCACAAUCUAUUAAACUCAUCAAAACAGAACUCUAAGCCAUUUUCUGUGUAGAAGUAUUUUUUUUGUUUUCCCGUCUAUUUUCAAUCAUAAUUUUCCAAGACUUAAAUGUGGAAAACACAUUACAUCUUUGCUUUAAGAAGAACGCCCAAACUUUUCUAAAAAAAUCAUCAAUAAAGGUUAGCAUAUAAUUAGCUCCACCUCUCGAAGGCACUCUAGAUGGCCCCCACAGAUCAGAAUGAAUAUACUCCAAUGUUUCCUUCGUGUUAUGGAUUCCUCUGGUGAAUCGAACUCUCUUUUGCUUCCCAAAAACACAGUGCUUACAGAAAUUCAGUUUGCAAAUUCAUUGCCCAUCAAGAAGUCCUCUUUUGCUCAAUUCUGCCAUGUCAUUCUCACUCAUAUGCCCUAGCCGCAUAUGCCAAAGUUUAGUAAUAUCAUCAUCAGACAAAGAAGAGGAAGCGACAGCUGCAUCACUAAUAAUAGUAGAACCUUGCAAAACAUAUAACUUGGCAAUCUUUCUCUACCCUUUCAUCACAACAAGGGAACCUUUGGAAAUUUUUAAAAUCCCACUUUCAGCUGUGUAUCUGUACCCUUUUGAAUCAAGAGUACUCAAUGAAAUUAAAUUUCUUUUCAAUUUUGGAACAUGUCGUACAUCACUAAGUGUUCUGACAACUCCAUCAAAUAUCUUAACUUUAAUUGUUUCAACACCUGCGAUUUUACACGAAGUAUUAUUUCCCAUCAAAACAAUACCUUUAGACACUGUUUCGUAAGUCGUAAACCAAUUCCGAUUGGGACUCAUGUGGAAAGUGCAGCCUGAAUCAAGUAUCUACUCCUCGCUCACUUGUGACUAGAAGUUCACCAUCGCUGUAGUCUUCUACAACAUUAGCUUCACCAGAAUUUUCUGGUUAUUUUCCCUUUAGAUUCGCAGCCUCCCUUUUAAUCUUGUUCUGUAGCUUAUAGCACUCAGAUUUAAUGUGCCCUAUUAUCUUGCAGAAGUUAUAAGUUUUACCUCUGUUUGAAGACUUUGAUCUACCCUUAGAUUUACCGCGAGAAUUCCGUUCCUACGUCCUUCCAUGAUCAUCAUCAGCAUUCCGAUAUUAUCUCCCAUGAACAAUGAGACCCUCUCCCUGAAAGUCGGGUUUAACCAUAAGAUGCUUCAUCUUAUCAUACGAGGUCAAAGAAUCAUAAAUCUCAUCAACUGUGAAAGACUCGUGACUAUAUAAAAUUGUAUCUCUAAAGGUUGAAUAAGACGGGGGCAAUGAACAAAGUAGAAUCAACCCUAAAUCUUCCUUAUCAUACUGAACCUCCAUGGCCUCCAAGUUUGAGAGAAUUUUUUUAAAUACUGUUAAGUGUUAGUGUACAGACGCACCUUCCUCCAAACGAUGAGCAUAAAUACGCUGCUUCAUAUGCAACUUGCUUGUUAGAGUUUUCGACAUACAUAUUUGUUCUAGCAUAUUCCAUACUGCAGCGGUGGUCUUCUUUUUCAUCACAUCCUGCAAAAUUUCGUUGGAUAAAUACAGAUGUAAUUGUGUUAAUGCCUUUCGAUCCUUACGCUUCUUCUUUUCAUCUGUUAAUGUCAAAGGCAUCUUAUCUAUCCCUAGCAGGGCAUCCUUUAGAUCCAUCUGCGCAAGAACUGCUUGCAUCUUAAUCUGCCACAAUGCAAAUCUGGUGUUACGAUCCAACAACGGAAUUCCAUACUUCAAAGACGCGAUUACCGUGAUCGAUAUGAACAACCCGAAAGCUCAGAUACCAAUUUGUGAAAAUAAAAUAAAAUAAAGAAUACACAGAUUUUUACGUGGAAACCUUUUCGGGAAAAAAACCACGGGUAGAGGAGAAGAAAUUUCACUAUGCCGAAUUCAAAUGAUUACAAGAGGAAUAGACUAUGUCUAUUUAUAGGCUUGUAAAGUCAUAUUCUAGUAAGACUGAAACACAUUAUUCUAAUCAAUAUAAAAUGAAUGGAGUUUAAUAAGGUUUAAAAAACCCUAUUCUAAAAUAAAAUAAAAGAAUUGUAGUUCUAUAUAAAUUUUACUUUUAUUUUAUUUUACCACUGUAUUUUAUUUAAAUAAUGAUUCGAGUCAUUUAAUUCUAACAUAAACAAUAAACUAAAAGAUGACAUGCUCUAGAUUUUUUUAAAAUAAAUUCAAAUUUAAUGACUAUAUCAUUGUUUGAUCAAAUAUAUAAAUUUAUAUCAUCAGUAGUUCUACUGUUAUGAUCUUAUCUUUAAUAUUGAAGAAAUCAGUUGAAUUAAAAAUAAACUCUUUAGAUAUUGGAUCUGACUAAAGAUCAAGAAUUGGGGCUUUGGAACCAAUAAAAGCUUAGUAAAAAAGGGUUUUAUUUUUAUUAUCUUUUUAUUUUUAUUAUCUUUCCUCUAAUUGGUCUCUUUGACAUAAAAAGUUGGGUAUAAUUGAUCUGCUCCCACGAAAAAGGAAAAUAGAAAUGGACUGACAAAAAUAAGUAAAUGUUGGGUUAAAAGCAAAUAUAUAAUAAUGGAAAUACAAGAUUUUAAUUACUGAGAUGAGCUUACCAGGAAUUAAUACAGUGAAUACUCCAUGAUUUCGUUGUUCCUCAGUAGUCUCAGGUUGUUUAGUGAAUUGAUGAUCAUGUUCCAUUGAGAAAGAGGCAUCAAUUGACCCCAACACCACACAUGAACUGACUCAGAUCCGACGCCCAUCUCAUAAUGUUGCUUAAGAUGCAGAGUUUGCAUGGCCAUACUCGAACUGUAAUUCCCAAUACACAGCAAUGGCAGACCCUCAGCCCUUGUAAUUUGGAUUUUCUGUACAGUACAUAAGCCGAAAACAUGAAAUCCCAUGGAUAUUAAAAGCAAUGCAAAAGGACCCAAAACCCCGCAUAACUAAAAUUAUAUAUGAAUAGGCUAAAAGAAAUAAAGAAACCAAAAGAAAAUGAUUGAUGAAGCAAAGAAACCAGAGAGAGACCGAAGUCAAAGAAGAAAAAGGACUCACUUACGAGUAAGAUGUAGUGAAGAAGAAAGGGUGUGGGAGUAGUUUCUUA
rnacentral:lncRNA from 1 species